AAUCAACGCUGGCGGCGCGCCUAACACAUGCAAGUCGAACGAGAAAGGGGAGCAAUCCCUGAGUACAGUGGCGUACGGGUGAGUAACACGUGGGUGAUCUGCCUCUUAGUGGGGAAUAUCUCUGGGAAACCGGAGUUAAUACCGCAUAAGCUCGGAAGAGGAAAGCCGAAAGGCGCUGAGAGAGGAGCCCGCGGCCGAUUAGCUAGUUGGUGGGGUAAAGGCUCACCAAGGCAGAGAUCGGUAGCCGGCCUGAGAGGGCACACGGCCACACUGGCACUGAAACACGGGCCAGACUCCUACGGGAGGCAGCAGUGGGGAAUCUUGCACAAUGGGGGCAACCCUGAUGCAGCGACGCCGCGUGAGCGAUGAAGCCCUU
rnacentral:rRNA from 1 species